UGGGGAAUAUUGCACAAUGGGCGCAAGCCUGAUGCAGCCAUGCCGCGUGUAUGAAGAAGGCCUUCGGGUUGUAAAGUACUUUCAGCGGGGAGGAAGGGAGUAAAGUUAAUACCUUUGCUCAUUGACGUUACCCGCAGAAGAAGCACCGGCUAACUCCGUGCCAGCAGCCGCGGUAAUACGGAGGGUGCAAGCGUUAAUCGGAAUUACUGGGCGUAAAGCGCACGCAGGCGGUUUGUCAAGUCGGAUGUGAAAUCCCCGGGCUCAACCUGGGAACUGCAUUCGAAACUGGCAGGCUAGAGUCUUGUAGAGGGGGGUAGAAUUCCAGGUGUAGCGGUGAAAUGCGUAGAGAUGUGGAGGAAUACCGGUGGCGAAGGCGGCCCCCUGGACAAAGACUGACGCUCAGGUGCGAAAGCGUGGGGAGCAAACAGG
rnacentral:rRNA from 1 species